rnacentral:rRNA from 1 species
UACGUAGGUGGCAAGCGUUGUCCGGAUUUAUUGGGUUUAAAGGGUGCGUAGGCGGCUUGAUAAGUCAGUGGUGAAAGCCGAUCGCUUAACGAUCGAACUGCCAUUGAUACUGCCAGGCUUGAGUAUAGUUGAGGUAGGCGGAAUUGACAGUGUAGCGGUGAAAUGCAUAGAUAUUGUCAAGAACACCAAUUGCGAAGGCAGCUUACUAAAGUAUAACUGACGCUGAGGCACGAAAGUGCGGGGAUCAAAACAGG